AUGCUGGAGGUAUCAGAAGUGCGAAUGCUGACAUAAGUAACGAUAAAGCGGGUGAAAAGCCCGCUCGCCGGAAGACCAAGGGUUCCUGUCCAACGUUAAUCGGGGCAGGGUGAGUCGACCCCUAAGGCGAGGCCGAAAGGCGUAGUCAAUGGGAAACAGGUUAAUAUUCCUGUACUUGGUGUUACUGCGAAGGGGGGACGGAGAAGGCUAUGUUGGCCGGGCGACGGUUGUCCCGGUUUAAGCGUGUAGGCUGGUUUUCCAGGCAAAUCCGGAAAAUCAAGGCUGAGGCGUGAUGACGAGGCACUACGGUGCUGAAGCAACAAAUGCCCUGCUUCCAGGAAAAGCCUCUAAGCAUCAGGUAACAUCAAAUCGUACCCCAAACCGACACAGGUGGUCAGGUAGAGAAUACCAAGGCGCUUGAGAGAACUCGGGUGAAGGAACUAGGCAAAAUGGUGCCGUAACUUCGGGAGAAGGCACGCUGAUAUGUAGGUGAAGUCCCUCGCGGAUGGAGCUGAAAUCAGUCGAAGAUACCAGCUGGCUGCAACUGUUUAUUAAAAACACAGCACUGUGCAAACACGAAAGUGGACGUAUACGGUGUGACGCCUGCCCGGUGCCGGAAGGUUAAUUGAUGGGGUCAGCGCAAGCGAAGCUCUUGAUCGAAGCCCCGGUAA
rnacentral:rRNA from 1 species